CGGGCGCGAGUGCCUUUCCCGCCGCUCUGCUUCCCCAGCCGCCUUGGUCCCCGUCCCUAGGCGCGUGCACAGCACAGGGCUUUCUCCUGCCUCGUCGCCCAGGCCCCACUUCCCUUGCUGCCUCCGGGGUGCAGGGACGCGCGCCCAAGCCGUCCGCCCCUCUUGGGCUCCGGAGGAGAAGAGAAAUAUCCAUGUGAGAUGGAAACAGCCAUUGGCUGCCUCUUGCACGCCCCCUCACGGGGAUCCAGCCCACAAUCCUGACAGAAAUCCAACCAGCAACCUUUCAGGUGGAUUUCGGAUCUAGAACUCAGGUCACCUCCUUGGAAAAUCAGCAAGCAGCAGCUGAACUU